UAUAUUGGGCUCUGUCCUCGUGCGCCACACGAUAUGUGGCCAACGGAGGGGAACACCGGUGAGAAUCCGGGGCUGUCGCGCAACGGUGUGACAGGGCCGUCCAGGCCGCUGUCGAGCCCGAAUACCUCCGAGGACCGGCCACCCCCG
rnacentral:ncRNA from 2 species